rnacentral:RNase_P_RNA from 1 species
UUGAUGUAUCGGGUAAUCGCUCUUAUCCGCCAUUGUGUGGAUAGGGGAGGAAAGUCCGAACACCAUCCAAACAAUUUUUGUUUGGUUAGUGAUAACGGCUAACAGCCGCCAUACUCCUGAUAAUGUAAGGAGGAACGGGAUAGUGUCACAGAGACCAUACCGCGGACGUCAUCAUUUCUGGUCUAAAGCCAGAAAAGUUGGUAGCGCAAGGGUGAAAAGAGUGAGGUAAGAGCUCACAGUAUAUAUUGGUAACAAUAUGUAGAGAAAAACUCCUAUCCGGUGCAAGUUCUAUUGAACGCUUGAGCCAGAAGAGCAAUCUUUGGCCCAGACAAAUGAUUACCCCAAGUGCGUAAGUAAAAUUACGUGCUCGGACAGAAUUCGGCUUAUAGACACAUCAAAGAC